rnacentral:rRNA from 1 species
AGAGUUUGAUCCUGGCUCAGAACGAACGCUGGCAGCGUGGAUUAGGCAUGCAAGUCGAACGAGAUCCAGAGGGCUUGAUUAUUUCGGUAAGAUUGACCUCUGGUGAGAGUGGCGAAAGGGCGAGUAAUGCACGGGCAACCUACCGUUUGAGUUCGGGACCACCUUGGCGAAAGGCAGGAUAAUACCGGGAUGUGGUACCGAUGGGCAUCCAUUGGGCACCAAAGGCGGGGCUCCUUCGGGACCCGUCGCUCAUCGAGGGGCCCGUGUGCCAUCAGCUUGUUGGUGUGGUAACGGCUCACCAAGGCAUACGGCUAGCUGGUUUGAGAGAACGACAGCCGCACUGGGACUGAGACACUGCCCAGACUCCUACGGGAGGCUGCAGUCGAGAAUCAUUCGCAAUGGGCGAAAGCCUGACGAUGCGACGCUGCGUGGAGGAUGAAGGCCCUCGGGUCGUAAACUCCUGUCAUGGGGGAAAAAGGCUUCGCCGGUUAAUAGUCGGUGGUGCUUGAUGGUACCCCAAGAGGAAGCCACGGCUAACUCUGUGCCAGCGGCCGCGGUAAUACAGAGGUGGCGAGCGUUGUUCGGAUUUACUGGGCGUAAAGGGCGCGUAGGCGGCCCCGUGUGUCGUAUGUGAAAGCCCCAGGCUCAACCUGGGAAGUGCAUGCGAAACUGCGGGGCUUGAGCAGAGGAGAGGAGAGCGGAAUUCAUGGUGUAGCGGUGAAAUGCGUUGAUAUCAUGAGGAACACCGGUGGCGAAGGCGGCUCUCUGGAAUCUUGCUGACGCUCAGGCGCGAAAGCCGGGGGAGCAAACAGGAUUAGAUACCCUGGUAGUCCCGGCCCUAAACGGUGCAAACGGGGCGUAGGGAGUUUUACCCUCUCUGUGCCGGAGCUAACGCGUUAAGUUUCCGCCGGGGAGUGCG